UUCUUAUUGAAUGAUGAUUGUCACGUACCAUGUUAUGAUUGGAUAUCAACUCCAUGAAAGAUGAAAUGCAUUAUUAUUUUCACUAACCAAUCAUAACAUAACACGUGAUCGUCAUCAUCC
rfam:Glycine max cultivar Williams 82 chromosome 11, whole genome shotgun sequence.